rnacentral:rRNA from 1 species
UACGAAGGGGGCUAGCGUUGCUCGGAAUCACUGGGCGUAAAGGGUGCGUAGGCGGGUCUUUAAGUCAGGGGUGAAAUCCUGGAGCUCAACUCCAGAACUGCCUUCGAUACUGGAAAUCUCGAGUCCGGGAGAGGUGAGUGGAACUCCGAGUGUAGAGGUGAAAUUCGUAGAUAUUCGGAAGAACACCAGUGGCGAAGGCGGCUCACUGGCCCGGUACUGACGCUGAGGCGCGAAAGCGUGGGGAGCAAACAGG